UGUAUCCAACAUGGCGGCCAACUUGCGGUCAGUAAUCGGUCAAAAAAUCAUUGUAAGGACAAAAGCAUUAUUUCAGAAACCUGCUGUGUGUGAUAGUAAAAGCCUCGCUGCAACAUGUCACCUCACCCAGAACAGGGAAUAUUCCCUGGCUCCGCAAACAGUUUCAGAACAGUCUGAGGCCUUGGCAAAGUAUGGAGGAAGACACACAGUGACACUUAUGACAGGAGAUGGUGUCGGGCCAGAGCUUUUAUCACAUGUACAGGAGAUUUUCAGAUAUGCUGGUGCUCCAAUAGACUUUGAAAUAGUUGAGAUAAAUUCAUCCACAAACACACCAAUUGACAUGCACAAUGCAUUGCUUUCUGUCAGAAGGAAUGGAGUGGCAUUAAAAGGUAACAUAGAGACUAAAUUUGAUGAUCCUUCAUUCAAAUCUAUGAAUGUUGCUCUGAGAACAUCUUUAGAGCUCUUUGCAAGUGUGGUCAAGUGCAAAUCUAUUCCUGGUAUCAAUGUAAGGCAUAAAGAUGUUGAUUGUGUUCUCAUAAGAGAGAAUACAGAGGGAGAAUACAGGCAGUUGGAACAUGAGAAUGUUCCAGGUGUUGUUGAAAGCUUAAAAAUUAUCACAGCUGAGAAAAGCACAAAAAUAGCAAAAUUUGCGUUUGACUAUGCAGUACGUCAUGGUCGCAAAAAAGUUACAGCCAUUCACAAAGCUAAUAUUAUGAAACUGGGUGAUGGCCUGUUCCUGGAGUGUUGUAGAGCUGUGGCUAAAAGCUACCCCGACAUAGAGUUCAAUGAUCUCAUUAUUGACAAUGCCAGCAUGCAAAUGGUGGCUCGUCCUAGUCAGUUUGAUGUUUUGUGUAUGCCUAAUUUGUAUGGAAACAUACUCAGUAACAUCGCCUCUGGAUUAAUUGGUGGUGCUGGACUAGCAGCUGGAAUGAAUCUUGGAGAUAAAUAUGCUGUCUUUGAAUCAGGUACUCGCAAUUCUGGGCGAUCAAUGAGAGGUAAAAAUAUUGCUAACCCAACUGGAAUACUUUUUGCUAGCUGUGACAUGUUGGAUUACUUAGGGCAUUUUGAACAUGCUAAACUCAUUCGUGACUCAGUGAUGACAGUACUUACAGAGAAAGAGAUCAGAACUCCAGAUAUCGGAGGUAACGCCACCACAUUGGAUGUUGUUAAGGCCAUUAUAGAUGAUGUCAAACCAAAAACUUUAGCUUGGAGCUAUUGAGACGAGCAUGGUACACAUUUCACUUAAAAUAGUUUUCUGGGUUUUUUUUUUCAUUUUGUAAGAUGUGUAAAUAUUGUUAGGGUUGAACAUCACCAGAGAAAUCACAACUCAUUAUUUGAAUAUGUCAUAUUGAUACCAAGUGAACAUUUCAGGCAUUGAAUCAAAUGUUCUUUUCAUAUCUGUAAAAACAUGCAUUAGUUACAAUAAAUUAUGUAUAUUACUAAUACACUAAGAAAAUAUUUACUUAGUUUUAUAUGUUUUAUAUUGAGACUGAUUGUUUAAUAAUUAUAGUGUAAUUAAAAAAUGGUUCCAGCCUGGCUUUAUUUAACAUUGAAAACUGCCAGAUCUUAAAUCAUGUUGUCUUGAUGGUAUAACUUUCAAGUGUAAGUUAUUGAUUAAUUUAUUUUCUUAUAUACAUCAUUCUUUGAGGAAAAUACAGCACCAUAGGAAAUGAGUAUCACUGUUGCUAGUCUUUCAAUAUCCAAAUAUGCAUGUGUGUAGUCCUCAAUUUAAAAUUAAAAAAAAAAUUAUUACAUUUUGUAAUAAUUUUGACCUAGAUACUCAAACAAUUUUUGUCAUUGUUCCAUCAAUUCAAUGACAAUAAAAAGUGUAAGAAUAGAACAAUGCCAAAGGAGACUAGAGUAACUGGUGUUCUCUAAGCCCUGGUGAACUACUGAGUCUGUUAACUGACAGUUGGCUGAGGUAACUCUCCCUACAUCAGCUCAGACAUCAGCUAUCUCUGGAUGUUACUGAGAGUAUUUAUUAACUGCACUGUCCUGUUAUGUCCAAUGGAUGGCCUAAAUACAUAUGCAAUAAUUGCUGAAGCUUUGUAACUAACACAUGUCCAAGGAUAAAUGUAUUGCUCAAAAUUAUUUUAAAUGGAAUCUCACACACAAUGUCUUGAAUAUAAAACUAAAUUAAAAACCUAACAAACA